rnacentral:lncRNA from 1 species
GUGAAGAAAGAGAGGAUUAAUGAGAAAAACAAAUUAGAUGGCAUAGCCUGGAUGCAGAAAGUCUGACUUCAAAAUUCAUGAACCUUCCAAAAUUUACCAUGUUGUCCCUCUUCACUUGUAACUCUAGUGACACAGGAAGAUCAACACCUCCACAUUUGCCCCCAGUGAUAGGCCUUGGUAGCAUAACUGGUUGUGAUAUCAUAGAAAAUGACUGCAUGCAUGUAGAAGGAUAAAAAAGAUGGACAAUAACCAGAGUGCAUAAGAGGGUAAGAUGAAAGGUAUGAGGAAGUGGUGAUUAUCAGAACAGAAAAGAGAGAAAAAGUAAAAAGGGAGAAAGUGGAGGAAAGCAAACUAAAUCUCAGGAAACAUUGUGAAAAAAUAGUGAGAAGUGAGAGACUCUUCCAGCAUAGUAACUGUAUUCAACAGGUGUGUCUAUGCUGUG